AAAUAAAAAGGGUGUCAAAAACUUUUAAACUAAUUCAUUGAAUGAAUUUUUAGCAAGAUAGUGUUAAUGUAAAAAAAAUGAGUAGCAUUCCAAGAUCAAGUGUCCCUUUUUUUCUUCACUUUCACGCAUUUGUGUACCAUUUGUGCAUAGAUGAGUGUACAUGAAAAAAGAAACCAUUCUUGUUUUGGGAAUAUCUUUAUUUUCUAAAUUAUCAUGUAGCAAUUAAGCAGACAUAAUUUGCUUAGAUAAAGAAAUUUAUAUUAUAUAGUUUCAGCAUGAAAAGUUACAUUCGAUAAUGAGAAAAAAAUAUAAGAUAGAAAAAUAUCUUUAAAUUAAGAAUUAGAACUGUUCAAUACUAUUAUUAUUAAAACAAUCGUGCUCUUUAGAUGACUAUUGUAAUAUUGAGAUAAAAAUAUAAAAUAAUUUAUUUUUCUGAAAUUUAUCAUUAUAAAACUCUUUAGAUAAGAUUAGAUUUAUACGAUAUAAACAAGACUGUCAUUGUUUCAUAUAUAAACAAAAAUAUAAUUUUGUGUUUAUAUGCGAAAUGAUUGUUAAAUGGAACAUAUUAUAUAGGAUUGUGUCGUUUAUUUCAAUAUUGUUUACACGGGUUUUUACAAUACGUGAUAUUUACACGAAUCCUUUUCAUGUAGACAUUGCAAAUAUGUAAACUAUUGUAAACUGGAUAAUACAGAGCGCAAUACAAGAAAAAGCAACUAAGUUUUAAAAUCGUUAAUUAUCUGAUUUUAAUGUAUCAAUAAUAAAACUAUAUAAAUUAAAUAUAAUAUUAAAAUUAAAAAGUCAAAGAAAAUGAUAUAUCAAAUUUUCAUUAUAUUACGUAUCAGAUUCGAAUAAAAGUGUCAAUUUAUUUUCUAUUUAAUUUUACAUCAUUAAUGUAUUUAUUUUAUUUUCACUAUUUCUAACGAAAUAUGAAUUCUACGAUCUUAUAGUUUGCAUAGACGACAAUACAUAGUUUACGUUGUUUACGCAUAAUACUGGCAAUAUAUUUUACGCGUGAACACGCAAUCCUGAUAUCAUGGUUUUAAUUUGACAUUGUUUUUUUUCCAUGUAUACGUGAUUCGCGGCACGUAACGAUCCGGGCGACAUCGCGGCGACUCGCUGCCAGAAAGGCAAGGAUCGGCAUCACGCCAAUUUAACCCGAACAACAUGUGUCAUUACGCAAUCGCCAUUAGCGAUUCAAUAACCCGUUCGCCUUUCUUACUCCCUUCUCACUGCUCCCUUUUUUUACCGACAUUCGCGCUCGCGACACGCCGUUUGUCUUCGCCGCAUGAAAACCACCACCGUCGUCGUCGCCGGUUUCGCUUCCCGGAAGAAAAUUGACGCACAAUUACGCGCGGACCCCCCGUCGAUUGUUAAUAUACCUCGUGUCCGCCCGAUUCCUCUCCGUGUCCGUGUUUCUUCGCCCUCGACGAUGGGUUCAACGGUACGUACGUCGCCCACGCGUCGACAGAAUUGCCGAUCGUUAAUGGAGGAGAGAAAGAGGGAUCAUUAUUCGCAACCACGUGGUUGCUUUCGAUCGAACGGGCUCCGCACCGGCUCUAUUAUAGAAACCGAAUGCCGAAGGCAGGGACGAAUAUGACCCCGAACUGCGUCGAAUUCGCAAAGCGCGCUCCUCGCUCCUCGACGCCCAAGGAGGCGUUCGGGGGGAGAUAUUGCGUCAUCGUUACAUAACCCUCUGUUAGACAAUGGGACGGACGGGGGUGGUCGGCCGGGGGCACCGCCUGAACGCUGUUAUUGCCAGUUUACCGAAUUUCAUUUUUCGUUUUCGAAGCGCGACGCACUUCCUCGUGUAAACACGCGAUGGUGCCAACGGCGUGUACGCGAACGCGCGCGCGCGCACGUUUGUGCGCCACGCAUUUCGGCGCGCGAUAUCACCCGAUCCCUCGAGAGGCGUACAUACAUACGCGUACGUAGGAAAAUUUAAAAAAAAAAUAAACGAAAAUAGUGCGCUAUCGCAUUAAGCGUCGUCGGAUAUCGCGCGAGUCGCUGCUACCGUGAGAUUAGCGUUUGCGUCAAGUUACAUAUAUCGUUAUCUCGAAAAUAAGUAUCAGUCGAUUUGUUCCAUGAAAAAAAAGGGGAAGAAAGAGCGAGAGAGAGAGAGAGAGAAAGCGUGAGCGGAUGAAGAGGGGAGGGCAGAGGGCGGCGGAGAGGGUACGAAAGUGCGCAUCACCGUAGUUUUAAUCUCCGGUCUCGCUGAUGUCUCUUGGAUGCCCGUUUCAAGGCCAAGAGAGGGAGGGAGAGAGAGAGAGAGGGAGAGAACGCGCGGGAGUCUCUCGUUUCGCUUCACGACUAUUUGCGACUGACUUUGCGAGGAUCGCAAAAAAAAUUCGCGGUCGCGCGUUCACGAGUGAGGUUAUGUAAUUCAUCGUGGCCCCGUCGAGAACGAUCGGCGCCAGUGCACGAACGGCGAUAACAAUUGACAAGUUUUUCUCGGAGGCGACGGCGACGGGACGAGAUACAUCCAAUCCUCGACUGAUAUCCAGAAGAGCUAUCAUUUAUUUCAUCGCCUCUAGGGAAACCCCGGUAUUUAUAUCGCAGAAGUCAGAAAAAAUAGGACUGAAGGUAACUUGUUCCCAACCACUUUGUUAUAUGCCUUCAUGUUAUAUUAAUACUGUGUUGUGAUUUCAGUUUUUUUUUACUAUUAAUAUUAACGAAACCAUCGAGAGUUCAAUCAAUUUGUUAAUGUGUGAGUAGCACAAUGAUGUGUGUAACUACGUAAAAUAAUUAUUCUCUCUGCAGGGAGUGGCUUAAUGGUUAUUUCGAUAUGUAUAAAAGUGUAAAGAGAUAAUAAAGGAGGAAGUGUACAAAAAUAUAAAUGUUUAGCUUCCGUGUUCUCUGUUCAGUUUGUCUUGCUCACGAGUGGCUAUAUAUUAUUUCACUUCCCUUUUGACAUACGAAAAAAAUGCAAAGGUCUCUAAAAGUUUUUCUUUUUCAAAUAUAAGAAAAUAAAUAUUUUGUUUUAAAAUUUUUUUAAUAAUAGCAAAAAGCAUAAAAUUUUUGUUGGUGCAGUUUAUUUAAACUUAGUCAAUUGUUAGUAAUCUGUGUAGUAAUCUAACUCGCGAGAAAGUAGCAUUUAAAAAAUUUUAAAAAUAUUGAAAUAUUAUCAAAAUAACAAUAAAAGAGAGUGCAAGAUUUAUAUUAAUUUAAUUUUAUGUCUCUGUAAAAAAAAACGUCCCAAAAAAACAUUUUUCUUUGACUUUUCAAAUCCAAUUAGCAGAUAAUGUUUUUUUACGUGUUUUUUAAACUUUUAAAAUAAAAAAAAAAAUGUUGUAAUGAAGAAUAAAUAUUUAAAAAAAA